GAAUGCUGACAUAAGUAACGAUAAAGCGGGUGAAAAGCCCGCUCGCCGGAAGACCAAGGGUUCCUGUCCAACGUUAAUCGGGGCAGGGUGAGUCGACCCCUAAGGCGAGGCCGAAAGGCGUAGUCGAUGGGAAACAGGUUAAUAUUCCUGUACUUGGUGUUACUGCGAAGGGGGGACGGAGAAGGCUAUGUUGGCCGGGCGACGGUUGUCCCGGUUUAAGCGUGUAGGCUGAUUUUCCAGGCAAAUCCGGAAAAUCAAGGCUGA
rnacentral:rRNA from 1 species